AACGUCAAAUCAUCAUGCCCCUUAUGACCUGGGCUACACACGUGCUACAAUGGUUGGUACAACGAGUUGCGAGUCGGUGACGGCGAGCUAAUCUCUUAAAGCCAAUCUCAGUUCGGAUUGUAGGCUGCAACCUCGCCUACAUGAAGUCGGAAUCGCUAGUAAUCGCGGAUCAGCACGCCGCGGUGAAUACGUUCCCGGGCCUU
rnacentral:rRNA from 1 species